CCCUUAGAUGUUCUGGGCCGCACGCGCGCUACACUGAUGCAUUCAACGAGUCCAACCUUGACCGAGAGGUCCGGGUAAUCUUUGAAACUGCAUCGUGAUGGGGCUAGAUUAUUGCAAUUAUUAAUCUUCAACGAGGAAUGCCUAGUAAGCGUGAUUCAUCAAAUCGCGUUGAUUACGUCCCUGCCCUUUGUACACACCGCCCGUCGCUCCUACCGAUUGAGUGUGUUGGUGAGGAGUUUGGAUUUGCCUCGGAAGGUGGUUCGCCACCGUCCGUAGCUGAGAAGUUCUCCAAACCGCCCCACUUAGAGGAAGGAGAAGUCGUAACA
rnacentral:rRNA from 1 species